UUUCAAAUAUAGUCAUGUUGAAGGUUGGGGCUUCAACAUAUGAAUUUGAGGGGGACAGAGUUCAGUCCAUAGCAGGCCCCUUAACUCUCCCACUGGACAAGGAAAAUAAUAAUGACAAUAUAACCAAAAAAGCUGAAGGUAAAUCUGUGCACACUGAGAAUGAUUGUUGGGUAUUUCCCUUGGCUGGUCAUGGGAAACCACCAAAGAGGAGAAAUCUACCAGCGUGUUUCUGUGAGCUUUGGUGGUGGUGUGAUUUGGACACAGUGGGGCCUUGAAAGUACCCACAAUAGGCUGUCAGGUGAGAGGAAACACAGAAGGGAGGUAUUCACUGAAAUGCUAUGGUCUCUGUGAAUUGGUUUCAUCUGUGCAGUGAGCAGGACAAACCCAUCGGGUGAUAACAGAUGGAGAGAAUGAGGCCUAGAUGAUUUCUAAGAACCUCACAGCCCUGUCAUCUCUCAAGUGAUGACAUACAUUUUGAGCUGCUGGCACAGAUUGUGGUGGCUUGUAAGGGUUGAAAGUGGGGAGCAGCAAUACAGUAACAGGAGAAUAUAGGACUGACACCAACCACCAGAAACACACCAUGAAAUCCAUGGAUGGUUUUAAGGGCCUUGCAACUUGAACAAGCUAAUGCUUUAACAGUUUGGCAU
rnacentral:lncRNA from 1 species